rnacentral:pre_miRNA from 1 species
UGUGCUUGACACUGAUGUGCUUGACACACUGAUGUGCUUGACAUCUGUCAAGCACAUCAGUGUGUCAAGCACAUCAGUGUGUCAAGCACA